UGCGUAGGCGGCCAUGUAAGUGAGGUGUGAAAUCCCUCGGCUCAACCGAGGAACUGCGCUUCAUACUGCAUGGCUUGAGGGAGACAGGGGUAAGCGGAACUGAUGGUGGAGCGGUGAAAUGCGUUGAUAUCAUCAGGAACACCGGUGGCGAAAGCGGCUUACUGGGUCUCUUCUGACGCUGAGGUACAAAGCUAGGUAGCGAACG
rnacentral:rRNA from 1 species